UUUUACUUUUCAUCUGUGUUCAUAAUUGAAGUUUUCAUGUUAGUUUCUUUGUUCUGCAUUUUACAGUGUGAAAUUGAUUCUCUUUGGUUUUGGUCAUUGCAGCCAAUCAGCCACCUGUUUCUCAUUUAGUAGUCAGGAUUCCUGCGUUUCAGGCUCUAGAAAUGGUUCAACAUAAGAAAACACUGAAGUUUUUCAUGCGGAAUUCAAAUAUUAAGACAUCAAGAAGUGGAUGUCUGGUGUUCCCCGGACUCUAACUUCGACAUUCCUGCUUAUUUGCAGAGGAAGUACGAGGUCAAGAGCAUCUGACCUGAAACCCCCUCCUCUUUACUUUUCAGCUGUGUAGCUUCCUUUUUCUGUUUUUUAUUUCUCCAUCUAUACAUGCAAUUCGUGCAGCCGAUUGAGUUCACAUAUCUGUCAGAUUAUUUGUCCUCGUCGGUUACAGUAAUUUUUGCUCAGGACUUGUGCAGACUUGCAGAAUUUGGGGUCAAAAGAACACGUCGUCUCAGCACAAUUCAGGGACUUUCAGUCCGAAAAAAAAAA